rnacentral:lncRNA from 1 species
CCUGGGUGUUUUGUUGUUGCUGUUUUGGAUUUUGUUGGAUUGGUUUGUUCCUCUUGUUUUUUUUUUUUUUUUUUAAGAGGCUCUCAUGUAGCCCAAACUGGCCUCAAACUUACGGUGUGGUUGAACUUCUUCAUCCUCCCGUUGCUAGGAGCGGGAGUUCUGGGCUUGAAAGUUUGCUGUGAGGCGGAGACAAACACUGUCUCGCUGAGCCACAUGCUCAGCCCAGAACUGAACUUGCAAGGAGCUGGCUGCCAUCUUACACUCUCUUUAGGGAUCCAGGAGGCUGCCAGCUUCCCUAGCUCCUCCUCAACACGCCUUUCCCCCUGUUAAUUUCAACCAUAGCCAGCCUGGUGAGCAUGUGACAGCUGCUGAGUUUAGUUCUGGUGCCCCUUCCUUCCUGGGUCUCUGUUGUCCAUGACGAUGAUGAUGAUGAUGACGACUGAUUUUAUUCCAUUGAGAACUUCACACGUGAACACUAAACAUACAUGACUCCUAACACAUACAUACAUGAACACUGAACAUACAUGACCCCUAAUUCUUGCUCCUUCCAACUCAACUCCUCCCCCCACAUUCAUGACCUUUAAUCACCAUUGUUACAUAUUUAAUGUGUACAUAAACAUAUGCACACACAUAAUAACCCACUAGGUCCAUUCUGCUUUGAUUAUACAUAUAUACGUCCCUGCUGACCUCUUGGAACUGGCCAAGAGUCUUCUCUUUUUAAAAAAGAGCCACAGCCUCUACCCGCUAUGUGGGAAGGAGAUUGUGGGUGCCCGGAGACAACCGGCUUGCACCUGGCCACAGCUCGCAAUCUUCACUCUUGAUGAAGCAUGACAGAUGCCCACUGACACAGACACAUGAGUGAGGUGAGGGAAAGUCCCCACCUGCUCCUUACAGACACCUGUGAGAGCCCAGGCACGGACAGGGCCAUUCCCUGCAGCUGACAGCACCCCAGGACUGAGGGGUGGAGUAGCUGAGCCUCACUCACAGGGUGCUGGAAGGGGAACAGUGACCCUGGGCAGGGUGGGUGUCCCCAGUUACAGGCCUGAUGAUGGGGUAGUACACACCUCCUUCCCAUAGGUAGCAACUAUGCCUGCUGUACCUGGCAAGAACGGGCUUGUUGAAGAGCCACAGAAGCUAACCCUGCUCUGCUCUGCGCUGCUCUGCUCUGAGGACCAGCACCUUCAUACCCCACUACCACCCUCCCUCCGUAGCCCUUGCUAACCUGGGGUUGCUGCUCUCACCACAUCCUGCACAGAGCCUCCCACACGUCAUUGUCCCUGUAAGCAAGGGAUCUUAGGCUGUCCUGCCUUGGGGGACUCCCACACUAGUGAGGUCAGAGGGCAGCUUGCCCAAGUUCAUUCCCUCCUACCAUUGGAGUCCCAGUCAGACUCAAGGCCUCCCACCACUGGCCCAGCAGAAAGUUGUGUGUGUGUUUGAGACCUGGUCUCUGUGUAGCCCUGGCUAUCCUGGAACUUGCUAUGUAGACC